rfam:Triticum aestivum genome assembly, contig: Triticum_aestivum_CS42_TGACv1_scaffold_378646_5AL
UUCAUUGCUCAGUUGGUAAAGCACAAAACUCUUAACCUUGUGGACGUGGGUUCAAACCCUACGAUGGAA